rnacentral:rRNA from 1 species
UACGGAGGGUGCAAGCGUUAAUCGGAAUUACUGGGCGUAAAGGGCGCGUAGGCGGCCUGAUCAGUCUGACGUGAAAGCCCUGGGCUUAACCUGGGAGCGGCAUUGGAUACUGUCGGGCUAGAGUUUAAUAGAGGGGAGUGGAAUUUCCGGUGUAGCGGUGAAAUGCGUAGAGAUCGGAAGGAACACCAGUGGCGAAGGCGACUCUCUGGAUUAAAACUGACGCUGAGGUGCGAAAGCGUGGGUAGCAAACAGG